GACGAACGCUGGCGGCGUGCUUAACACAUGCAAGUCGAACGGAAAGGCCCUGCUUUUGUGGGGUGCUCGAGUGGCGAACGGGUGAGUAACACGUGAGUAACCUGCCCUUGACUUUGGGAUAACUUCAAGAAACUGGGGCUAAUACCGGAUAGGAGCUCCUGCUGCAUGGUGGGGGUUGGAAAGUUUCGGCGGUUGGGGAUGGACUCGCGGCUUAUCAGCUUGUUGGUGGGGUAGUGGCUUACCAAGGCUUUGACGGGUAGCCGGCCUGGGAGGGUGACCGGCCACAUUGGGACUGAGGUACGGCCCAGACUCCUACGGGAGGCAGCAGUGGGGAAUAUUGCACAAUGGGCGGAAGCCUGAUGCAGCAACGCCGCGUGCGGGAUGACGGCCUUCGGGUUGUAAACCGCUUUCGCCUGUGACGAAGCGUGAGUGACGGUAAUGGGUAAAGAAGCACCGGCUAACUACGUG
rnacentral:rRNA from 1 species